AUACGGAGGAUGCGAGCGUUAUCCGGAUUUAUUGGGUUUAAAGGGUGCGUAGGCGGUUUUUUAAGUCAGCGGUGAAACGCAAGGGCUCAACCCUUGACCUGCCGUUGAAACUGGAGGACUUGAAUGCGGAUGCUGUGGGAGGAAUGUGUGGUGUAGCGGUGAAAUGCAUAGAUAUCACACAGAACACCGAUUGCGAAGGCAUCUCACAAAUCCGUGAUUGACGCUGAGGCACGAAGGUGUGGGGAUCAAACAGGAUUAGAUACCCUGGUAGUCCACACUGUAAACGAUGAUGACUCGCUGUCGGCGAUAUACAGUCGGUGGCCAAGCGAAAGCGAUAAGUCAUCCACCUGGGGAGUACGACCGCAAGGUUGAAACUCAAAUGAAUUGACGGGG
rnacentral:rRNA from 1 species